GACGAACGCUGGCGGCGUGCCUAAUACAUGCAAGUAGAACGCUGAAGGAGGAGCUUGCUUCUCUGGAUGAGUUGCGAACGGGUGAGUAACGCGUAGGUAACCUGCCUGGUAGCGGGGGAUAACUAUUGGAAACGAUAGCUAAUACCGCAUAACAGUAGAUAUCGCAUGAUAUCUACUUGAAAGGUGCAAUUGCAUCACUACCAGAUGGACCUGCGUUGUAUUAGCUAGUUGGUGAGGUAACGGCUCACCAAGGCGACGAUACAUAGCCGACCUGAGAGGGUGAUCGGCCACACUGGGACUGAGACACGGCCCAGACUCCUACGGGGGGAAACAGUAGGGACUCUUAGGCAAUGGACGGAAGUCUAACCGAGCAACGCCGGGUGAGUGAAGAAGUUUUUCGGACCGUAAAGCUCUGUUGUAAGAAAAGAACGAGUGUGAGAGUGGAAAGUUCACACUGGGACGGUAUUUAACCAGAAAGGGACGGCAAACUACGU
rnacentral:rRNA from 1 species